UUUGUUCAAGUCUCCGCGACCUGAACACCGUGACACGUGAGUCCCAAACGUUUCUCUUUUAUUACACUUUAUCAAUAACGUGCUUAUUAACUGCUGUUGGAUACGAGUGUCUCACGUAGCUGCGCUCAUAUCGGGCUCUUGUUAGUGUGACAGUCCCGACGGAGUGAGUUACUUAGUGAGCGCAGGCUGCUCGGAGUCAUGGAGGACACGCAGUUUAAAACUUUACAGUAAUUAUCUAAAGUUAUAACGAGACUCUAUUAAUUAAGACUGUGUUAUUCACGUUGGUUAGGGUUAUUAACUUGUUAUUAUAUAUUAUUUAUUAGAUUAUUAUACAGUUAAUGAUAUGUGUUGUCUGUCAUUAUUAUGAUUAUUCAUAUAAACCGGGAGAAAUUAACCCGUUUCAUUCAUAUGUACCUAAGUAAACAGUUUAGUAGAGUUGUAAUGAUCUUUGAGAGUUUUAUAUAAAUUGUCUGAUAAAAAUGAUUUAAUCACAAACUGAUGUGAGUAAAUCAAAUACUGUAAAGUAACUGUAACCGGGGGCCACGAGCUUUACAGAGCAAAGAAGUCCGAGGAGGUGGAUGCAGAGGCCUUGGCCCACGUCGCCUCCGAGGGUGGAGACACCGCCAACGCCACCCUCGUGCUGAGCCGGUGGAAGGUGCAGUUUGGUCGAUACCAGGGCUAGACCUUCCACUGGCUCUUGGAAAACGACGUGAGCUACUGCGUCAAUCUGGCCUCCUCCCACCAGAAGGAGCGAGAGAGGACCUCAGUCCCCGCUGAUGGCCAACAAGGACGCCUUCUCCCGCUACUCCUCAGCAUACUCUGACUUUGUUGAGGCAGUCAGGUUCCACCAGGCGUUUGAGGAGGUGCGGGUGAGGUUCCUUCAGCCCGGUCAGUAGGGACAGGCACUUGUUGGCUUCGGGGACUUAAAAUUCGAGACCCUCGAGUGCCUGUACAAGUCUGAGGACUCCAAAAAGAUCCGAUUUGUCAACUACCUCCGGAGGACGACAACAGCACCUGGUACGCAGAUGGAGAACGCUGUCCGGUACAUCAGAGGCAGAGACAGACAGAGGACCAGGACAGCCUUUUGUUUU